CGUCUGCUUCAAAAACCCGACUCCAUAGAGUCUACUCUCUCCAGUGAAGAGGAGCCCAUUGUGUGAGAUGAGAGUUGGAUUGGAUGGCUCCCUGGGGAGCUGCUCUCCAUUAGCUAAGGUGAUCUAACAGGGCAGGAGGUUCGGGGACGCUUCAUGGUACGACGGGACAUGAAUCACUUUAAUAGACACCCAUCCCUUCUGGAAACGUGUCUAUCAACGGAUAUUAAAAGGGGAACUCCAGGUUAAGCUAGCUAAAAUAUCUGCCCAUAAACUGAUAUGGGGAACAGCCUAUUGGCAACUGUAUUGCUUCCUCAAACUGAUAUGUUAAAACCCAUUUCACCAUUAUGAGGA